UGCAGGUCGGACGGGGUUGCUCAGCUUGCUCUGUGGAUCAGUGGCGAACGGGUGAGUAACACGUGAGCAACCUGCCCCUGACUCUGGGAUAAGCGCUGGAAACGGCGUCUAAUACUGGAUACUGUCCAACUCUUCAUGGCCAGUUGUUGGAAAGAUUUUUUGGUUGGGGAUGGGCUCGCGGCCUAUCAGCUUGUUGGUGAGGUAAUGGCUCACCAAGGCGUCGACGGGUAGCCGGCCUGAGAGGGUGACCGGCCACACUGGGACUGAGACACGGCCCAAACUCCUACGGGAGGCAGCAGUGGGGAAUAUUGCACAAUGGGCGGAAGCCUGAUGCAGCAACGCCGCGUGAGGGAUGACGGCCUUCGGGUUGUAAACCUCUUUUAGCAGGGAAGAAGCGAAAGUGACGGUACCUGCAGAAAAAGCGCCGGCUAACUACGUGCCAGCAGCCGCGGUAAUACGUACGGCGCAAGCGUUAUCCGGAAUUAUUGGGCGUAAAGAGCUCGUAGGCGGUUUGUCGCGUCUGCUGUGAAAUCUGGGGGCUCAACCCCCAGCCUGCAGUGGGUACGGGCAGACUACAGUGCGGUAGGGGAGAUUGGAAUUCCUGGUGUAGCGGUGGAAUGCGCAGAUAUCAGGAGGAACACCGAUGGCGAAGGCAGAUCUCUGGGCCGUAACUGACGCUGAGGAGCGAAAGGGUGGGGAGCAAACAGGCUUAGAUACCCUGGUAGUCCACCCCGUAAACGUUGGGAACUAGUUGUGGGGUCCAUUCCACGGAUUCCGUGACGCAGCUAACGCAUUACGUUCCCGCCUGGGCAGUACGGCCGCAAGGCUAAAACUCAAAGGAAUUGACGGCGACCCGCACAAGCGGCGGAGCAUUGCGGAUUAAUUUCGAUGCACCGCGAG
rnacentral:rRNA from 1 species